UACGUAGGGGGCUAGCGUUGUCCGGAAUCAUUGGGCGUAAAGAGCGUGUAGGCGGCUUGGUAAGUCCGCUGUGAAAGUCCAGGGCUCAACCCUGGAAUGCCAGUGGAUACUGUCAAGCUAGAGUCCGGAAGAGGCGAGUGGAAUUCCUGGUGUAGCGGUGAAAUGCGCAGAUAUCAGGAGGAACACCAAUGGCGAAGGCAGCUCGCUGGGACGUGACUGACGCUGAGACGCGAAAGCGUGGGGAGCAAACAGG
rnacentral:rRNA from 1 species